GAUUUGCAUUACCUUUCUGGUUCUGGUCUUUAAUGUAACAACAUUUAGCAGUAAGUUUGGUAGGGUGCCCCCAGCAAGGAGAGCAAAAAACCAAAAGUUGUUGUAUCUUUAACAUAAUAUGAGCCACACAAUUAAGUAAAUCUCAUAAUUGUGUGCAACUGCAUCAAUUAUAAGGUUGCUGAGGUGCAGCAGAUAAUUACCAGAGAUAUUAGCAGAGCUUCAAGUGUCUUGAGUGACUAGCUACCGUUUACUACUCAAAGCAGAAGGACUACUCUUACUGUGCAGUGCUGAGCCUCUUACACCCUUAUAUGAAAUGCAAAGGGGGUGUGACAUCACCUGCUUGUCUCCUCCUUUCUUUCCUUAGAGUGGAUAACAGCAAAAUCAGAAAGGACUCUCCACCUGUCCUGCGUUUGCUGUGUAUUGUUAUGACCUUAGAGAGUUCACAAGGUUGAAGGGUUUUUGGCUUUGGCCCUGAGUGGGAAAGCGUGAGACCUGCUGCAUUAGGCAAUGAAGACCCUGGACUGGGAUCAAAAUCUAGUAUUGUGUCAUAUCCCAGAUGGACAUUAAGAUACUGAAAUAAAAAAGAAUAAUUAACAUAUAAGUGGAAGAAUGGAGUAAACAUGACUGUGGAUGUGUUCUUAGAGGAAGCUGGGUGGUCGUCUUCAAAAGAAGUUGCCAGAAAGCAAAGAGAAAUAGUUUGGAUUGAGAGGAACAGUCAGCUCUGUCCACUUGCUGGCAGCACUGCCAGCAUCACAGGAAUGUGGAUGUCAGCAUUUCGCCUUUCUUCUGCAAGCACUCCUGUUUUUAAGUAUCUUCAGAAUAAAGGUUUCUAGAUUUGGCAUUACCUGGUUUUGAUUGUAUAUGAGAGGCCUUAUACAAAAAUUUUCAAAUAGACAAUAAUUUGAAUGAACUGCUGUUUGAAUGUACUUGUCAGCUAGCACGUGACUCUUGAAUACAUUUGGUAUC
rnacentral:lncRNA from 7 species